GAUGAACGCUAGCUACAGGCUUAACACAUGCAAGUCGAGGGGAAACGGCAUUUAGUGCUUGCACCGAAUGGACGUCGACCGGCGCACGGGUGAGUAACGCGUAUCCAACCUACCCAUUACUGUGGGAUAACCUGCCGAAAGGCAGACUAAUACCGCAUAGUCUUCGAUGACGGCAUCAGAUUUGAAGUAAAGAUUUAUCGGUAAUGGAUGGGGAUGCGUCUGAUUAGCUUGUUGGCGGGGUAACGGCCCACCAAGGCAACGAUCAGUAGGGGUUCUGAGAGGAAGGUCCCCCACAUUGGAACUGAGACACGGUCCAAACUCCUACGGGAGGCAGCAGUGAGGAAUAUUGGUCAAUGGGCGAGAGCCUGAACCAGCCAAGUAGCGUGCAGGAUGACGGCCCUAUGGGUUGUAAACUGCUUUUGUAUGGGGAUAAAGUCAAUCACGUGUGAUUGUUUGCAGGUACCAUACGAAUAAGGACCGGCUAAUUCCGUGCCAGCAGCCGCGGUAAUACGGAAGGUCCGGGCGUUAUCCGGAUUUAUUGGGUUUAAAGGGAGCGUAGGCUGGAGAUUAAGUGUGUUGUGAAAUGUAGACGCUCAACGUCUGACUUGCAGCGCAUACUGGUUUCCUUGAGUACGCACAACGUUGGCGGAAUUCGUCGUGUAGCGGUGAAAUGCUUAGAUAUGACGAAGAACUCCGAUUGCGAAGGCAGCUGACGGGAGCGCAACUGACGCUUAAGCUCGAAGGUGCGGGUAUCGAACAGG
rnacentral:rRNA from 1 species